rnacentral:lncRNA from 1 species
GGCAAAACUGCUGGCGAGUGUGCCCUUUCUGCAGAAACUGCAAUGUUCCUAGAGAGAAGCCAGCACUCGCCAGAUCUUUGGCCACCCCGAGGUGUCGUGUGCAUAAGGGAAGAUGAGAGGCUGGUUGACGCCCACCCUUCACCAGUUUUGUAAAUAACAAGCUGGCGCCCCAGAACCCAUCCACAGCAGCUUUUUCAGUGGCAUUAUGCAUUCGUGGUGCAAGCAUCCUUACUGUGCUUCAAUCAGUGGCUUCAGUCGUGGCCGGCGCACACUGAUGGAGUUUCUUCCUCGUCGCGGGUCAUAUUUUCCUCUUUGCAUGUCUGAUGACUUUUGAUUAGAUGCAGGCGUUGUUCACUUUCCCUGUUGAGUUCUGAGUAUAUUUGCAUUCCUAUUAAAUAUCCCUGUGUUUUGCUCUGGA